rnacentral:lncRNA from 1 species
ACGAGAGAAGGCAUAGAGACAGUGCAAGUGUGUGCAGAGAGAGGAAGACAGUGCAACUGUGAGAGUGAGUGCAAGUGCAGAUUUGAGAGAAACGAGUGUAAGAGUGAAACACUGGGUUUUGUGGGGUUGUAUUGGGUUGAGUUGAGUGUUUGUAUCAUUCCUCCAUUAAUAUACAAUCUGCUGCCUCCGUGGACGUACCCGGUUUUGGGGAACCACGUAAAUCUGCUUGUUUGUGUUUUAUUUGUGUUUGCUUUCGGUCCAGUAUGC